rnacentral:lncRNA from 10 species
GCUCCCUUCGCCGCGCCUCGCGUGCUAGCGGUGCCCUUGUGAGCCACUGCGUUCUCCAAGGCCAGAACGGGACAGUUGACGAUGGUCGUACUUCUCCAUGUUCUGAGACCAGUUUAAACAAAAACAAAAACCAGACAACAACCUUGCAAGGGAAAGAAUUCAGAGUAAAUAAACAGUCUUUUUCUGGGAAGUAAAAUAUUUCCCUAAGAUGGAGAAAUUGAGAUGAGAGCUCAUCCACAAGAUUACCCAUCAAUGAGCACCAAUAGCAACCAAAUCCACUAGAAGACUGGGAGCUUUUAAGUCAAGAAACUUACAUCAGUAUCAUCAUUCCAAGAAGCGGUAUCCAAGCUGUUUUAUCGAAAGUGCGCAUGGGAGAUGGUGCUGUGAGUGGGGAGUGAGUCAAAAACUCCGCUGGGGUGUACAAAAGUCUACUCAAAUGUCCACAGCAUCUGUGGGGGAUGGAGAAUAGUUGGAGGAUCUUUCUCCAGAAUCCUUCUGUUCUGUAGUACAAGUAUUACUCAUUAUAGACUAGCACGAAAAAUCAAGUGAAAUGCGAACUUAAGAGUUUAAAAAGAAUAAAUGGUGCUUUUCUGGCCUAUUAGUAAUAAAUUAAAUAAAAAUAAUUUUAAUUUGUAAGUAAUGAAUGCUAAUCUACAUUGUAUUAAUUGGGCUUAACCAGAGAGUUUUUGUUUACAUACAUUAGGCAAACAAACAAUAGGAAUGAGGAUUUUUAAUAAAGAAGGAAGCCAGAAACACACACACACAAGCACACACACACACACACACACACACACACACACACACACCAAGUAAGAG